UGUCAAAUCAUCAUGCCCCUUAUGUCCUGGGCUACACACGUACCACAAUGGCGGAAAACAGAGCGAAGCAAAGCGGCGACGCGGAGCAAAUCGCUAAAAACCGUCUCAGUUCAGAUUGCAGGCUGCAACUCGCCUGCAUGAAGUCGGAAUUGCUAGUAAUCGCGGAUCAGCAUGCCGCGGUGAAUACGUUCCCGGGCCUU
rnacentral:rRNA from 1 species